rnacentral:lncRNA from 1 species
GUCUUCCCUCCCCCCUCCCCUCUCCCUCCCCGCCUGCCUCCCUUCCUUAGAAUACUGGGAACUCAGUCACGAACGAUUGUGUUGUGCCGUUUGGGGGUUUGCAGUGGGAGGACUGAGGCCCAGCGGUGAACCUCUUACCUUCCUCCCUGAACAGCCCUGCUCUGCUGGUCCUCUGUGGGGACCAUGGAGGCGUCGUGGGGCCGUGGAGGGGUCGUGGGGCCGUGGAGGCCACCACCCCUCUGCUGUCAGAAUUCCGGAGGGAGAGUAUGGCUUCUGUCCUCUUAGACUGAGCCAAGGGAAGAGGCCAGGGGGCUGUGUUCCAGCUGAAGCAAAGGCAAAUGUGGACCCAGCAAUCCUUGUCUUAGCGCUGCUGGGGGCCAUGUGGGCCAUAGGUUGGGAUGAGGGAUCAGUGAUGCCAGGAUCCUUUCAGGGCCCCAUCCUCUGCCCUCUGCAUCCAGUAGAGGUGCAGUGUCAGAAGGAGCACACCCGCAGAGGAGCAGAGCCAGGGAGGAGACCAGAACCCGUGCCAGAGGAGUAUGUGACUUGGAGUUCAGAAGACCCAGGGGGACCUGAGAACUGCCUUCAAGGAAGCAGAGGGAUUUGUUUUCUCGACUACUUUGAGAGCCCCUCAGAAGGCAGGGAACCAGGCCCUCCUUUGGCUGGAAGAAACCGGUGGCAACCUUGAGCAGAUCUGUUCUGACACACACAUUAUGUCCCUUAAUGCUCUCCAGCCCACGAGUGGCCUCUGGAUCCCAGCCUGGCCUCCCAGCUCUGACAGCACUGACUUUGAGGCUCCAGAGGGAGCUCUUUGGAAUACAAAUACCUCUGGACCCUCCUGAUCCCAGCUGGUGCCCCAUUCUCAUGCUAAUACAGAGAGUUUGCCAGUAGCUCCUAGAAGAAUUCGCUGCUGUAGGAAAUCCACCCCAAGCCUUCCUCCUGGCGACCGGGACAGUGUCUCUGGGGUCCUUUCCAGCCUGGCCUCCUGGUACUCAGCACUGGGUUCAGGCCCCACACCCAGCAGUCCUG